rnacentral:rRNA from 1 species
GACGAACGCUGGCGGCGUGCUUAACACAUGCAAGUCGAGCGAUGAAGCUUCUUCGGAAGUGGAUUAGCGGCGGACGGGUGAGUAACACGUGGGUAACCUGCCUCAUAGAGGGGAGCAGCCUUCCGAAAGGAAGAUUAAUACCGCAUAAGAUUGUAGCUUCGCAUGAAGCAGCAAUUAAAGGAGCAAUCCGCUAUGAGAUGGACCCGCGUCGCAUUAGCUAGUUGGUGAGGUAACGGCUCACCAAGGCGACGAUGCGUAGCCGACCUGAGAGGGUGAUCGGCCACAUUGGGACUGAGACACGGCCCAGACUCCUACGGGAGGCAGCAGUGGGGAAUAUUGCACAAUGGGGGAAACCCUGAUGCAGCAACGCCGCGUGAGUGAUGACGGUCUUCGGAUUGUAAAGCUCUGUCUUUAGGGACGAUAAUGACGGUACCUAAGGAGGAAGCCACGGCUAACUACGUGCCAGCCGCCGCGGUAA